UACAGAGGUCCCAAGCGUCGUUCGGAUUCAUUGGGCGUAAAGGGUGCGUAGGUGGCGCCGUAAGUCGGGUGUGAAAUUUCGGAGCUUAACUCCGAAACUGCAUUCGAUACUGCGGUGCUUGAGGACUGGAGAGGAGACUGGAAUUCAUGGUGUAGCAGUGAAAUGCGUAGAGAUCAUGAGGAAGACCAGUGGCGAAGGCGGGUCUCUGGACAGUUCCUGACACUGAGGCACGAAGGCCAGGGGAGCAAACGGG
rnacentral:rRNA from 1 species